GUUGAUCCUUCCCGUUGUCAUAAGCUUGUCUCAAAAGUUAAGCCAUGCAUGUUUUAGUCUAAACCGCCUUAUAUCGGGAAACUGCGAAUGGCUCACUUAAUCCGUUCUAGGUUUUUUGAAGGUACCUUUCUACUUGGAUAACCGUAGUAACCCCAGAAUUAAUACGUGCGCAAAUCCCGACUCUUGGGAGGGAAGUAUUUAUUUGAUAAAAGGCCAGCCGGGCUUGCCCGACCUGCGGUGAAUCCUGGUAAAUUCACGAAUUGCACGGCCUUGUGCCGGCGAUGUUUCAUUCAAAUUUUCUGCCCUAUCAACUUUUGAUGGUAGGAUUGCGGCCCACCAUGGUGGUAACGGGUAACGGAGGAUUAGGGUUGGAUUCCGGGGAGGGAGCCUGGGAAACGGCUACCACAUCCAAGGAAGGCAGCCGGCGGGCAAAUUACCCAAUCCUGAUUCAGGGAGGUUGUGACAAUAAAUAACAAUGCCGGGCUUUUCAAGUUUGGUAAUUGGAAAGGGAACAAUCUAAACCCCUUAUCGAGUAUCCAUU
rnacentral:rRNA from 1 species